GAAAAACCACUUUCCUUUGCUCCUAGCGCCUUCUCGUUCGCUGUAUAGCGUUUUGAGCGGAUAAAGAGCACAAGUGUGUAAGGGGACACAGGAUGAAUGGGAACUAGUUUUGUUAUUGUACUUUUGAUAAAAUGACUUUCUAGACAUAAAAUGUCACUUUUUUCACCUUAGCACACUUUAUCAUCAACAUUUUACAUUUUAAUGUCAACAAUCAUAUUUCGUAAUAUUUUAGGUCAGAAACAGUUCAUAGUACUAUAUUAUGUGUAAAUAUGUGAAAAAUAUCAUAUUGGAGUAGGUCGGGCAAUUGAUUACAUGAGUUUGUAGGAAAAACCACUUUCUUUUGCUCCAAGCCCCUUCUGAAGCGAUGUAUAGCGUUUUGAGAGUAUAAAGAGGACAAGUGUGCAUGGGGACACAGGAUGAAUGGGAACUAGUUUUGUCAUUGUACUUUUGAUGAAAAGUGACUUUCUAGACAUAAAAUGUCACUUUUUUCACCUUAGCACACUUUAUCAACAACUUUUACAUUUUAAUGUAAACAAUCAUAUUUCGUAGUAUUUUAGGUCAGAAACAGUUCAUAGUACUAUAUUAUGUGUAAAUAUGUGAAAAAUAUCAUACGGGAGUAGGUCGGGCAAUUGAUUACAUGAGUUUGUUGGAAAAACCACUUUCCUUUGCUCCUAGCGCCUUCUCAAUCGCUGUAUAGCGUUUUGAGUGUAUAAAGAGCACAAGUGUGUUUGGGAACACAGGAUGAAUGGGAACUAGUUUUGUCAUUGUACUUUUGAUGAAAAGUGACUUUCUAGACAUAAAAUGUCACUUUUUUCACCUUAGCACACUUUAUCAUCAACUUUUACAUUUUAAUGUAAACAAUCAUAUUUCGUAAUAUUUUAGGUCAGAAACAGUUCAUAGUACUAUAUUAUGUCUAAAUAUGUGAAAAACAUCAUAUGGGAGUAGGUCGGGCAAUUGAUUACAUGAGUUUGUUAGAAAAACCACUUUCCUUUGCUCCUAGCGCCUUCUCAAUCGCUGUAUAGCGUUUUGAGCGUAUAAAGAGCACAAGUGUGUAUUGGUACACAGGAUGAAUGGGAAUUAGUUUUGUCAUUGUACUUUUGGUGGAAAGUGACUUUCUAGACAUAAAAUGUCACUUUUUUCAGCUUAGCACACUUUAUCAUCAACUUUUACAUUUUAAUGUAAACAAUCAUAUUUCGUAAUAUUUUAGGUCAGAAACAUUUCAUAGUACUAUAUUAUGUGUAAAUAUGUGAAAAAUAUCAUACGGGAGUAUGUCGGGCAAUUGAUUAUAUGAGUUUGUUGGAAAAACCACUUUCCUUUACUCCUAGCGCCUUCUCAAUCGCUGUAUAGCGUUUUGAGUGUAUAAAGAGCACAAGUGUGUUUGUGAACACAGGAUGAAUGGGAACUAGUUUCGUCAUUGUACUUUUGAUGAAAAGUGACUUUCUAGACAUAAAAUGUCACUUUUUUCACCUUAGCACACUUUAUCAUCAACUUUUACAUUUUAAUGUAAACAAUCAUAUUUCGUAAUAUUUUAGGUCAGAAACAUUUCAUAGUACUAUAUUAUGUGUAAAUAUGUGAAAAAUGUCAUAUGGGAGUAGGUCGGGCAAUUGAUUACAUGAGUUUGUUAGAAAAACCACUUUCCUUUGCUCCUAGCGCCUUUUCAAACGCUGUAUAGCGUUUUGAGCAUAUAAAGAGCACAAGUGUGUAUGGGUACACAGGAUGAAUGGGAAUUAGUUUUGUCAUUGUACUUUUGAUGGAAAGUGACUUUCUAGACAUAAAAUGUCACUUUUUUCAGCUUAGCACACUUUAUCAUCAACUUUUACAUUUUAAUGUAAACAAUCAUAUUUCGUAAUAUUUUAGGUCAGUAACAGUUCAUAAUACUAUAUUAUGUGUAAAUAUGUGAAAAAUAUCAUAUUGGAUUCCAUCGGGCAAUUGAUUAUAUGAGUUUGUUAGAUAAACCACUUUACUUUGCUCCUAGCGCCUUCUGAAGCGCUGUAUCGCGUUUUGAGCGUAUAAUGAGCACCAGUGUGAAUGGACACACAGGAUGAAUAGGAACAAGUUUUGUUAUGGUACUUUUGAUGAAAAGUGACUUUCUACACUUCAAAUGACACUUUUUUCACCUUAUCAUCAAGUUUUACAUUUUAAUGUAAAAAAUCAUAUUUCGCCUUAUUUUAGGUCAGAAACAUUUCAUAGUACUGUAUUAUGUCUAACUAUGUGAAAAAUAUCAUAUUGGAGUCCGUCGGGAAAUUGAUUAUAUGAGUUUGUUAGAAAAACCACUUUCCUUUGCACCUAGCGCCUUCUCAAGCGCUGUAUAGCGUUUUGAGCAUAUAAAGAGCACAAGUGUGUAUGGGUACACAGGAUGAAUGGGAAUUCGUUUUGUCAUUGUACUUUUGAUGAAUAGUAACUUUCUACACUUCAAAUGACACUUUUUUCACCUUAUCAUACUUCACCAUCAAGUUUUACAUUUUAAUGUAAACAAUCAUAUUUCGUAUUAUUUUACGUCAGAAACAUUUCAUAGUACUGUGUUCUUUCUAACUAUGUGAAAUAUAUCAUAUUGGAUUCCAUCGGGCAAUUGAUUAUAUGAGUUUGUUAGAAAAACCACUUUCCUUUGCUCCUAGCGCUUUCUCAAGUGCAGUAUAAUGUUUUGAGCGUAUAAAGAGCACCAGUGUGUAUGGACAACAGGAUGAAUGGGAACAAGUUUGUUUAUGGUACUUUUGAUGAAAAGUGACUUUCUACACUUGAAAUAACACUUUUAUCACCUUAUAAUCGAGUUUUACAUUUUAAUGUAAAUAAUUAUAUUUCGUCUUAUUUUAGGUCAGAAACAUUUCAUAGUACUGUAUUAUGUCUAACUCUGUGAAAAAUAUCAUAUUGGAGUCCGUCGGGCAAUUGAUUAUAUGAGUUUCUUAGAAAAACCACUUUCCUUUGCUCCUAGCGCCUUCUCAUGCGCUGUAUAUCGUUUUGAGCGUAUAAAGAGCACCAGUGUGUAUGGACACACAGGAUGAAUGGGAACAAGUUUUGUUAUCGUAAUUUUGAUGAAAAGUGACUUUCUACACUUGAAAUGACACUUUUUUCACUUUAUCAUCAGGUUUUACAUUUUAAUGUAAACAAUCAUAUUUCGUCGUAUUUUAGGCCAGAAAUAUUUCAUUGUACUAUGUAAUGUCUAACUAUGUGAAAAAUAUCAUUCUGGAGUCCGUCGGGCAAUUGAUUAUAUGAGUUUGUUAGGAAAACCACUUUCCUUUGCUCCUAGCACCUUCUCAAGCGCUGUAUAGCAUUUUGACCGUAUAAAGAGCACUAGUGUGUCUGGACACGCAGGAUGAAUGGGAACAAGUUUUGUUAUGGUACUUUUGAUGAAAAGUGAUUUUCUACACUUCAAUUGAAGUGUAAGAAAUCAAAAUGACACUUUUU
ensembl:lncRNA